rnacentral:rRNA from 1 species
GAUGAACGCUGGCGGCGUGCCUAAUACAUGCAAGUCGAGCGAACAGACGAGGAGCUUGCUCCUUUGACGUUAGCGGCGGACGGGUGAGUAACACGUGGAUAACCUACCUAUAAGACUGGGAUAACUUCGGGAAACCGGAGCUAAUACCGGAUAACAUGUUGAACCGCAUGGUUCAACAGUGAAAGACGGUCUUGCUGUCACUUAUAGAUGGAUCCGCGCCGCAUUAGCUAGUUGGUAAGGUAACGGCUUACCAAGGCAACGAUGCGUAGCCGACCUGAGAGGGUGAUCGGCCACACUGGAACUGAGACACGGUCCAGACUCCUACGGGAGUCAGCAGUAGGGAAUCUUCCGCAAUGGGCGAAAGCCUGACGGAGCAACGCCGCGUGAGUGAAGAAGGUCUUCGGAUCGUAAAACUCUGUUAUUAGGGAAGAACAAAUGUGUAAGUAACUAUGCACGUCUUGACGGUACCUAAUCAGAAAGCCACGGCUAACUACGUG